AUAUUUCACCAAAAUAUCAAUGCACUGAAAAAAAUACAAAUUUCCUUGACAUUUGCUUUAUUAAAAAUGCAUACACUGAUAUCAACUACAAGGUAGGAAAGGCCACGUGCCAACGUAAUAAUACUAAUAGUUCUAAUGAUAAUAAUAGUAGAUUAUACAGAUGAUAUUAAAGAUAAUUAUACUAAUAAUACUAAAGAUCUAUGAUUUGCUGCCUUUGCAUUUGGUCAUAUAUUCUCUCUUUCAAAACAUUUCUACAUGGUUUUAGUUACAGGAAACUUGCUGUUACAACAGCACUUGCAGUAAAGUUGGUCCUCCUCCUAUCUCCAGAACUCUAGAUUGCUUCCUGUUCCUGUUUACAUAGUUUUACAAGUUUCCUAAGAGAAUUAUCUUAGUUCAGUGCAGUUGUUUUUGGUUGUGUACUUGACCUGUCUGCUCUUUGAGAUUGCUCAACUGAGUUUUGACAUUUAACUUAAAAGUAAACGUUUGAGGAGUGGCUUGCGAAACAGGAAUUUCAGGAUAGUGAUUUCUACAAGGUUUAGCAAAACUAGAGAGAGAGAACUUGCAUUAUUUUUGCAGUCUGUGGUUCCAUAACAUCGACCGACAAUGAAAUGAGGAUAAUGAUUACUACUGAUAUUCUUCUGUUUUGUGUGGAACUUCUGAACUGCAACCAUAACAAAGACAAUGAAGUCUGGAAUGCAGCUGGUGUUUAGGACUGGACUUGGAACCAUGUCAGCUGUUUCAGUAAAGUUACACAUUAAUAACACAUCUGCAAACCUGUACACACAAAAAGUAAAGAAGAAAACAUCUAUACUUUUCUGAACUGUGGAUUACUAUGCUAUUUGGAUGAAGAAAAAUGUGGCCUGUACUUUUGAAAAUGGACACCAGUUUGUUGGAUUUGGAACCUGCAGUUUAGCUUGAAGAUCUUGUGCAACUCUGUUGAAUAUCAUGGAGCUGCAAAAGAAAAAACAUCUAUAUUUUAUUUUCCCCCUAACUGUGAAUUACUUUGCUGUUUGGAUGAAGAAAACUAUGGACUGUACUUGUCAAAAAGAUUGACACCAGCAUAGUAAGUUUUAUUGAACAUUUGACUUGAUCAACAUUAGUGUAUUCAAGUAUCAAUAUCCUGUUCCAUAUCAGUGCUAUUAACAGGCCAGUGCAUUUAUCUUUACUCAAUUGAAAGCUCAACUGAGAAGUACUAACUUAAUGCAUGACAUUUAUUUAAAAGUUGUAAUUUUUAUUAGUUGUCUAAUAAAAGUUAAGAAAACUCAAAACCUAAAGCAACCACCUUCAAGACUUUUUAAAUAAACUCAAAUUAUUUUUUUUUGUAUAAUCUUAAUUUAAUUUGGUUUGUGCUUUCAUUGAACAUGAUGUAAUGUCCAUGUCUCUAAACUUUCUGCCUAAUUGUGCGCAGUUACACGCAUAUAGGUGUGCAUCUUCUGUCUUUUUCUCUUACUUGUGAAUCUUGACAUGCUGUUUACUCCUUUGGGAAGCUUUGUAAUCAAUCUGGUCGAUAUUUGUUUGGCGGCCUAUCAUUGAUAACGACGUUGUAAUAAUGCCAUCACGCAGCCUCAGCAUGGCCAAAAAUCGAUGAGCAGACUGAGUUAAUUAUGAGAAAAUCAAUUAAGAGGUGGAGAUUUUGGCUUUAAAAUGGCAGUCAUCGCUAAGGUAAAGGGACAGAAUAAAGAAGCCUGUUCACACA